GUGAAAUUAAACUUACACCUUAUCACACACAACCGUCAUAGUGACAGAAGCUAGUUUGUUUUAAUUAUAAACACCAAACUUAAUCACGUCUGAUAGGGCUAUUUUGAAUAAAGAGGGAAGGAACCUUCUAGGAUAUAUAAAGCUCUUCAAAACAACCAUCUUCUCAGAGAAGAGAAACUGAAGACAGAUUUGGAUUUAUUUUCUCACUCCCUUGGGUGCUUGAGAAGAACCGUCCCCAUGCUAUUCACGCUGAUGAUUCUGGGCCUUGCUGCCCUUUUUGGUACUUCUGAAAGUCAGUCUGGAUGCUAUGGUGACAUAAAAAGAGUCGAUGCCACUGGGGCUUCCUGUGCAACUGCAAGACCAGAAGGCUUAAGCUACUGUGG